rnacentral:rRNA from 1 species
GAGUUUGAUCCUGGCUCAGGAUGAACGCUGGCGGCGUGCCUAAUACAUGCAAGUCGAGCGAACAGAUAAGGAGCUUGCUCCUUUGAAGUUAGCGGCGGACGGGUGAGUAACACGUGGGUAACCUACCUAUAAGACUGGGAUAACUUCGGGAAACCGGAGCUAAUACCGGAUAACAUUUAGAACCGCAUGGUUCUAAAGUGAAAGAUGGUUUUGCUAUCACUUAUAGAUGGACCCGCGCCGUAUUAGCUAGUUGGUAAGGUAACGGCUUACCAAGGCGACGAUACGUAGCCGACCUGAGAGGGUGAUCGGCCACACUGGAACUGAGACACGGUCCAGACUCCUACGAGAGGCAGCAGUAGGGAAUCUUCCGCAAUGGGCGAAAGCCUGACGGAGCAACGCCGCGUGAGUGAUGAAGGGUUUCGGCUCGUAAAACUCUGUUAUUAGGGAAGAACAAAUGUGUAAGUAACUGUGCACAUCUUGACGGUACCUAAUCAGAAAGCCACGGCUAACUAC